AUUGAACGCUGGCGGCAGGCCUAACACAUGCAAGUCGAGCGGAUGAAGGGAGCUUGCUCCUGGAUUCAGCGGCGGACGGGUGAGUAAUGCCUAGGAAUCUGCCUGGUAGUGGGGGAUAACGUCCGGAAACGGGCGCUAAUACCGCAUACGUCCUGAGGGAGAAAGUGGGGGAUCUUCGGACCUCACGCUAUCAGAUGAGCCUAGGUCGGAUUAGCUAGUUGGUGGGGUAAAGGCCUACCAAGGCGACGAUCCGUAACUGGUCUGAGAGGAUGAUCAGUCAAACUGGAACUAGGACACGGCCCAGACUCCUACGGGAGGCAGCAGGGGGGAAUAUUGGAAAAUGGGCGAAAGCCUGAGCCAGCCAUGCCGCGUGGGUGAAGAAGGUCUUCGGAUUGUAAAGCACGUUAAGUUGGGAGGAAGGGUAGUAAGUUAAUACCUUGCUGUUUUGACGUUACCAACAGAAUAAGCACCGGCUAACUGCGU
rnacentral:rRNA from 1 species